rnacentral:rRNA from 1 species
AUUUACAUUUGAGUGAGUGGCGAACUGGUGAGUAACACGUGGGAAACCUGCCCAGAAGCGGGGGAUAACACCUGGAAACAGAUGCUAAUACCGCAUAACAACUUGGACCGCAUGGUCCGAGCUUGAAAGAUGGCUUCAGCUAUCACUUUUGGAUGGUCCCGCGGCGUAUUAGCUAGUUGGUGAGGUAAUAGCUCACCAAGGCAAUGAUACGUAGCCGACCUGAGAGGGUAAUCGGCCACAUUGGGACUGAGACACGGCCCAAACUCC